CUUCGGGGAGGCCUCGCGCAUCGCCGCCAACACGUGGGGCAGCCUCGCCCACCAGCACAAGCAGGUUUACAAGAAGAAGGCUGACGAUGCCAAGAAGGAAUAUCUGAAGGCGUCGGUGGCCUACAAGGCCAAGUUAGCCGCCAAGGACCGUGCUGCUACUGCUGCCACGGUGACGCCACCGCCACCACCACCGGCCGCACGCUUGCCGCACUCAGGAACGCCGCGGCUUGUCCCGUUCUACGGAACGCCGGGCGGGACGGGGGUUCUCCUCCUGUCUACCGCCACC